UACGGAGGGGGCUAGCGUUGUUCGGAAUUACUGGGCGUAAAGCGCACGUAGGCGGACUGGAAAGUCAGGGGUGAAAUCCCGGGGCUCAACCCCGGAACUGCCUUUGAAACUCCCGGUCUUGAGGUCGAGAGAGGUGAGUGGAAUUCCGAGUGUAGAGGUGAAAUUCGUAGAUAUUCGGAGGAACACCAGUGGCGAAGGCGGCUCACUGGCUCGAUACUGACGCUGAGUUGCGAAAGCGUGGGGAGCAAACUGG
rnacentral:rRNA from 1 species